GGCUCUGGAACUCUGUUGCACUUUGAUGGCUGACAGGAGGUCAAGCCCAAUUGUUGGUUUGGCGGUUAGAAAUAAAGUUCUUCCCCAGGCACUAACAUUAAUCAAAAGCUCGUUGCUACANNNNNNNNUUGGCUUUGCAAAACUUUUUUGCUGCACUAGUCUAUUCUGCAAAUACAAGUUUUGAAAUUUUACUGGACUCACUUCUUUCAAGUGCUAAGCCAUCUCCCCAGUCAGGUGGUGUUGCAAAACAGGCC
rnacentral:misc_RNA from 1 species